rnacentral:rRNA from 1 species
AUUGAACGCUGGCGGCAUGCCUUACACAUGCAAGUCGAACGGUAACGCGGGGCAACCUGGCGACGAGUGGCGAACGGGUGAGUAAAGUAUCGGAACGUGCCCAGUAGUGUGGGAUAGCCCGGCGAAAGCCGGAUUAAUACCGCAUGAGACCUGAGGGUGAAAGCGGGGGAUCGCAAGACCUCGCGCUAUUGGAGCGGCCGAUAUCAGAUUAGGUAGUUGGUGGGGUAAAGGCCUACCAAGCCGACGAUCUGUAGCUGGUCUGAGAGGACGACCAGCCACACUGAGACUAAGACACGGCACAGACUGCCACGGGAGGCAGCAGUGGGGAAUUUUGGACAAUGUGAGAAAUCCUUAGCCAGCCAUGCCGCGUGCGGGAAGAAGGCCUUCGGGUUGUAAACCGCUUUUGUCGGGGAAGAAAUCUUCUGGGUUAAUACCCUGGGAGGAUGACGGUACCCGAAGAAUAAGCACCGGCUAACUACGUGCCAGCCGCCGCAGUAA